rnacentral:rRNA from 1 species
UUAAGCAUAUCAAUAAGCGGAGGAAAAGAAACCAACAGGGAUUGCCUUAGUAACUGCGAGUGAAGCGGCAAGAGCUCAAAUUUGAAAUCUGGCACCUUCGGUGUCCGAGUUGUAAUUUGUAGAAGCAUCUUUUGGAUUGGUCCUUACAUAUGUUCCUUGGAACAGGACAUCAUAGAGGGUGAGAAUCCCGUUCAUGGUGGGGAAUCCAAUUCUUUGUAAAGUGCUUUCUAAGAGUCGAGUUGUUUGGGAAUGCAGCUCUAAGUGGGUGGUAAAUUCCAUCUAAAGCUAAAUAUUGGCGAGAGACCGAUAGCGAACAAGUACAGUGAUGGAAAGAUGAAAAGAACUCCGAAAGGAGAGUGAAAAAGGACGUGAAAUUGUUGAAAGGGAAGUGCUUGAGAUCAGUCUUAAGGUUUAGUGAUCAGUCUUCCUUUUGGUUGGUGCACUCACUAUUUCUUAGGCCAACAUCAGUUUGGGCGGCAGGAUAAUGACAUUGGAAUGUGGCUCUUUCGGGAGUGUUAUAGCCUUUGUUGAUACUGCCUGCUUGGACUGAGGACUGCGCUUCGGCUAGGAUGUUGGCAUAAUGAUCUUAAGCAGCCCGU